rnacentral:misc_RNA from 1 species
GAUGAAGAACGUAGCGAAAUGCGAUAAGUAAUGUGAAUUGCAGAAUUCAGUGAAUCAUCGAAUCUUUGAACGCACAUUGCGCCCGCCAGUAUUCUGGCGGGCAUGCCUGUUCGAGCGUCAUUUCAACCAUCAAGCCCCAGGCUUGUGUUGGGGACCUGCGGCUGCCGCAGGCCCUGAAAACCAGUGGCGGGCUCGCUAGUCACACCGAGCGUAGUAGCAUACACAUCGCUCAGGGCGUGCUGCGGGUUCCGGCCGUUAAACCCCUUUUUUACCCAAGGUUGACCUCGGAUCAGGUAGGAAGACCCGCUGAACUUAAGCAUAUCAUAAGCGAGGA